rnacentral:rRNA from 1 species
CCCUUAGAUGUUCUGGGCAGCACGCGCGCUACAAUGGUCUUCGCAAACGGAUGCAUUCUCGAAGGAGAAUGCCAAUCUUGGAAUCUAUGCCUUGGUCGGGACAGUUGCUUGCAAUUUUUCGACUCGAACCAGGAAUUCCUUGUAAUAGUGAUUCAUCACAUCACGAUGAAUACGUCCCUGCCCUUUGUACACACCGCCCGUCGCUCCUACCGAUCGAAGAGUUAGGUGAAUUGUUUUGAUCGAUAAGAUUUGACUAUGGUCAACUCUCGUUGUGAAAUUCUGUGAAUCUGACUGUUUAGAGGAAGGAAAAGUCGUAACA